UGUAGCUCACUGUACACGACACAGGGCAAAGGAAAUCCGUGUUCAGCAACUAUGUUAAAUGCCAUGUACGUAAAUUUUACAACGCUACUCGUUCCAAGCGCGCACAGGUGCAUAUUGAAGAAAAGUUUCCAGGGUAGAUAAUUUAGUUCGUAUUUUCACUAAUUUUGCUCUAACCACGAGACAUAAUAAUUUGAAUAUACUGCACGGAAAAACCUAGAGCGAAUUAAAUUGUGUGUCAGCUUCGUGUGUAUACAUAUAGUCUUUCCUAUGCAUUAGGUUUUUUGCGUAAUGCAUUAACAGUUGACAGCCUAUCUUAUGAUGUGUACUCUGUUUACAUUACAGUUGUUUAUUAGUUUACUCGUUUGUUUUGCGACUGGUGAAAUGCCGGCAUAUAUAUAUUUUCAACAUUUGACAUAACCCUGUAUGUUUUGCAGGGACAACCGAGGACGUGCAUUUCUCAGCACCCAGUCAACUGCCAAAAGUGACUCAAACACAGGCCACCAGUGGAACUCGGCUGUACCACUGCAGUGCUGCGGAAAUUGCCUUCACCAGCGGCUUUGCAACAGCUGUUUCACAGCAUGUCGGAGACAAUGCCUACGAAAUUAUUGGCCCUGAUGAUGAGAG